UGAGCCGGUUGGACGGUCGCAUCGUAUGAUGAGGAAAGUCCGAGCAUCGCAGGGCAGAGUGGCAGGUAACGCCUGCUGAAGGUGACUUUAAGGAAAGUGCAACAGAAAUAAACCGCGGGUGAAAACUCGCAAGGGUGGAAAGGUGCGGUAAGAGCGCACCGGCAGUUCGGCGACGAAAUUGGCCGUGUAAACCCCACUCGAUGCAAGAGAAAAGAGCUAAUAGAUUGCCCGUCUGGCUCCUAAAUCGCUUGAGCAUAUUGGUGACAAUGUGUCUAGAUAGAUGACCGUGCGCGACAGAACUCGGCUUACAGACCGACUCACAAA
rnacentral:RNase_P_RNA from 1 species